rnacentral:rRNA from 1 species
UGGGGAAUGAUUCACAAUGGGCGAAAGCCUGAUGCAGCAACGCCGCGUGAGGGACGACGGCCUUCGGGUUGUAAACCUCUUUUAGCAAGGAAGAAGCGAAAGUGACGGUACUUGCAGAAAAAGCGCCGGCUAACUACGUGCCAGCAGCCGCGGUAAUACGUAGGGCGCAAGCGUUAUCCGGAAUUAUUGGGGCGUAAAGAGCUCGUAGGCGGUUUGUCGCGUCUGCUGUGAAAACCCGAGGCUCAACCUCGGGCCUGCAGUGGGUACGGGCAGACUAGAGUGCGGUAGGGGAGAUUGGAACUCCUGGUGUAGCGGUGGAAUGCGCAGAUAUCAGGAAGAACACCGAUGGCGAAGGCAGAUCUCUGGGCCGUAACUGACGCUGAGGAGCGAAAGGGUGGGGAGCAAACAGGCUUAGAUACCCUGGUAGUCCACCCGUAACGUUGGAACUAGUUGUGGGUCCAUUCCACGGAUUCCGUGACGCAGCUAACGCAUU